rnacentral:rRNA from 1 species
AUUGAACGCUGGCGGCAGGCCUAACACAUGCAAGUCGAGCGGAUGAAGGGAGCUUGCUCCUGGAUUCAGCGGCGGACGGGUGAGUAAUGCCUAGGAGUCUGCCUGGUAGUGGGGGAUAACGUCCGGAAACGGGCGCUAAUACCGCAUACGUCCUGAGGGAGACAGUGGGGGGUCUUCGGCCCUCUCGCUAUCAGAUGAGCCUAGGUCGGAUUCGCUAGGUGGUGGGGUAACGGCCUACCAAGGCGGCGAUCCGUAACUGGUAUGAGAGGAAGAUCAGUCACACUGGAAGUGAGACACGGGCCAGACUCCGACGGGAGGAAGCAGUGGGGAAUACUAGACAAUGGGGGAGAGCCUGAUCCAGCCAAGCGGGGUGUGUGAAGAAGGUCCUCGGAUUGGAAAGCACUUUAAGUUGGGAGGAAGGAAAGUAAGUUAAUACCUGGCGAUAUUGACGGUACCAACAGAAUAAGCACCGGCUAACUUCGUG